UACCUCUAAGGGUCACACCUGGAGAGUUUCUAGUACUCUACCCAUCUCAACUAUGGGAGGGAGAGUCAAGCAGAGGCCUACCCAUUCCAUCCUAGCUUGGCCAGUGGCUAGCGAGUGGAAGGCAAUCUGCUACAAGU
rnacentral:snoRNA from 1 species